AAAUUGAAGAGUUUGAUCAUGGCUCAGAUUGAACGCUGGCGGCAGGCCUAACACAUGCAAGUCGAGCGGUAGCACAGAGAGCUUGCUCUCGGGUGACGAGCGGCGGACGGGUGAGUAAUGUCUGGGAAACUGCCUGAUGGAGGGGGAUAACUACUGGAAACGGUAGCUAAUACCGCAUAAUGUCGCAAGACCAAAGUGGGGGACCUUCGGGCCUCAUGCCAUCAGAUGUGCCCAGAUGGGAUUAGCUAGUAGGUGGGGUAACGGCUCACCUAGGCGACGAUCCCUAGCUGGUCUGAGAGGAUGACCAGCCACACUGGAACUGAGACACGGUCCAGACUCCUACGGGAGGCAGCAGUGGGGAAUAUUGCACAAUGGGCGCAAGCCUGAUGCAGCCAUGCCGCGUGUGUGAAGAAGGCCUUCGGGUUGUAAAGCACUUUCAGCGGGGAGGAAGGCAGUGAGGUUAAUAACCUCACCGAUUGACGUUACCCGCAGAAGAAGCACCGGCUAACUCCGUGCCAGCAGCCGCGGUAAUACGGAGGGUGCAAGCGUUAAUCGGAAUUACUGGGCGUAAAGCGCACGCAGGCGGUCUGUCAAGUCGGAUGUGAAAUCCCCGGGCUCAACCUGGGAACUGCAUUCGAAACUGGCAGGCUAGAGUCUUGUAGAGGGGGGUAGAAUUCCAGGUGUAGCGGUGAAAUGCGUAGAGAUCUGGAGGAAUACCGGUGGCGAAGGCGGCCCCCUGGACAAAGACUGACGCUCAGGUGCGAAAGCGUGGGGAGCAAACAGGAUUAGAUACCCUGGUAGUCCACGCCGUAAACGAUGUCGAUUUGGAGGUUGUGCCCUUGAGGCGUGGCUUCCGGAGCUAACGCGUUAAAUCGACCGCCUGGGGAGUACGGCCGCAAGGUUAAAACUCAAAUGAAUUGACGGGGGCCCGCACAAGCGGUGGAGCAUGUGGUUUAAUUCGAUGCAACGCGAAGAACCUUACCUGGUCUUGACAUCCACAGAACUUUCCAGAGAUGGAUUGGUGCCUUCGGGAACUGUGAGACAGGUGCUGCAUGGCUGUCGUCAGCUCGUGUUGUGAAAUGUUGGGUUAAGUCCCGCAACGAGCGCAACCCUUAUCCUUUGUUGCCAGCGGUUCGGCCGGGAACUCAAAGGAGACUGCCAGUGAUAAACUGGAGGAAGGUGGGGAUGACGUCAAGUCAUCAUGGCCCUUACGACCAGGGCUACACACGUGCUACAAUGGCAUAUACAAAGAGAAGCGACCUCGCGAGAGCAAGCGGACCUCAUAAAGUAUGUCGUAGUCCGGAUUGGAGUCUGCAACUCGACUCCAUGAAGUCGGAAUCGCUAGUAAUCGUAGAUCAGAAUGCUACGGUGAAUACGUUCCCGGGCCUUGUACACACCGCCCGUCACACCAUGGGAGUGGGUUGCAAAAGAAGUAGGUAGCUUAACCUUCGGGAGGGCGCUUACCACUUUGUGAUUCAUGACUGGGGUGAAGUCGUAACAAGGUAACCGUAGGGGAACCUGCGGUUGGAUCACCUCCUUA
rnacentral:rRNA from 1 species